GAUGAACGCUGGCGGCGUGCCUAAUACAUGCAAGUCGAGCGAACGGACGAGAAGCUUGCUUCUCUGAUGUUAGCGGCGGACGGGUGAGUAACACGUGGAUAACCUACCUAUAAGACUGGGAUAACUUCGGGAAACCGGAGCUAAUACCGGAUGAUAUUUUGAACCGCAUGGUUCAAAAGUGAAAGACGGUCUUGCUGUCACUUAUAGAUGGAUCCGCGCUGCAUUAGCUAGUUGGUAAGGUAACGGCUUACCAAGGCAACGAUGCAUAGCCGACCUGAGAGGGUGAUCGGCCACACUGGAGCUGAGACACGGUCCAGACUCCUACGGGAGGCAGCAGUAGGGAAUCUUACGCAAUGGGCGAAAGCCUGACGGAGCAACGCCGCGUGAGUGAUGAAGGUCUUCGGAUCGUAAAACUCUGUUAUUAGGGAAGAACAUAUGUGUAAGUAACUGUGCACAUCUUGACGGUACCUAAUCAGAAAGCCACGGCUAACUACGUG
rnacentral:rRNA from 1 species